rnacentral:lncRNA from 1 species
CAAUCCCUAGCCUAUACCAGGUACCUGGCUCUUCUAGAACAACCAUGGAAGGAAGCAGCUCAAGAGCUUGAAGGUUAAGGCCCAAUUAAGAGUUGUGAGGACGCCGAGGAGAAGGCAAUGGCGGAGUCGAGACUAUGACUAAGGGCGCCCUCAAUACCCUCAAAAGUCAGAGAGGAGAGAAGGCAAAAGUGCCCAUACCCUG